CAAUGCGAGCUGAGCAGACAGGGCUGCAAGGAAAUCUGGCGCGGUUCAAUACCUUGUCUAGCUUGGGUUCCAGUAUCUAAUCUUUUUUUUUUUUUUUAACUGACAAACUCAUUUCUCUACUGGGACAGGAUGCUGUGUGGCUGGAAGUUCCAUUUCUACAGCAAGAAUCCUAUCUGGAAAUACAGAAGUUGUCCUCUAGCCACAGCAGCUCGAACUUUUUUGACUGUCGUUGCUGCUUUCUCCCAUCACCCCCAUCCCCUUUUGACAAAGAUCCAACUGUAAAAAGUCUUACGUAACAGUUCAGGACUACUUCGGUUCUUUUACUGGGUAAGCACUUUCAAUUUUUUUUUUAACUAAAAACCAUUUUAAAAUUGAAUCUGUUGAGGGGCUUGACUAAAAUCUUUUAAGUAAUUUGUGUAGUGGAAUACUGUCAGUGGAUUUUUUUGUCUCAUUUCUGCACGUGCUCCUUUGUUCUCAGAACAGAAGCUUUUUAUACACAUUCCAUAACGCAGCUGGAGAGUUAUGAAGUCAGUUAUUAUAAGGAACACAAAGGUUGCUUUCCAUUCUUUGCCUUUAGAUAACUAAUUUUUUUAUUUGUUUUCUUAAAAUGGAGUAUUUAAAGAAGGAAGGAAUUCACAAGAAAUAAACUGUUGGAGAAUCUAGAAAAGUUUGAAGUUUUUACCACCUUUUCUAUCUAUAGUUUUGUGUGGCCAACACUUGUGCCGCCUGGGGCAGUGGGGGUAGAGGCAAGCAUAGACAGAGAGGAACUAAGCCAGACAUGGACAAAGGCACAAGCCAAAACCAGACAGUCCUGGCCGUUCGAUAGGCCAGCAGUGGGUGAGACAGGUCAGCCAGCUGCAGGAGCAGGAGGGGGGGCAGGCAGGGACAUGGAUGUGUGAGGUGCUCAUGCGUGCGAUCGUGACUAGAUUCUGAAACUGCCAGCCAUUUUCCCAGCUCCGCUUUGUGCAAUCUAAAGGAAUGCAUCCCCUCUGAAGCAGUCUUGCGAGAGCCCACUGAGGGAGAGAAGUACGGUAAAUACCACGACAUAUGGAAUCAGAAAAUACCGGGAACUGGAGUGGGCAAGAGGGAAUGCAGAGGGUGUGGAAAUUUUUUAGUGAUCUGGAAUGUGUUGAGUGACAGGAAGUGCCCCAAGCUUCUCCCCCACCAACUCUUCUCAGUCGCGCCUGCUUUUGUCUAACUCUUGUAAUCUACACACUACUGCUUACAAAGCUGUCUGAGUUUAAGACAAAAAGAAACCUAAAAGUCUCCUCAUGUCAUAGUACCUGUGGAAGGAAUGUAAACGCAUGGCCCUUUAAACCUGUGGACAUUUUUUCAGGUAUACAGGAGAAAGAUAAAAUAAUUUUCCACAGAUAAAUGAGAACUAUGAAUUAUAGUUCAGGUUCCAAAUCUAAUUUUUUUAAAAAAUCCUGAGUAUACUAUACUUUACAAAUGUUUAAGUUGGUUCCUAAUUCAAAGGAGACUUAUUUUAUUUGAUUAAUACAUUGCAUUUGAACUUGUUUCUAUUUUCUUUGCAUAAAUUUGGACUUUGGGAGAAAAAUGCAAAGUAAUAAGUAGAAUGCACUCAGGGGAAAAAGGGAGGAUUUUUCCCUUCAUGAGUUGGAAAGUAUUUUAAAGGGCUGGUUUCUUGAAAAAACAAACUCUCUCUUACUUUUUACAUCUAUACUAUAAAGAUAACUUUAUGCUAUAAUAAAUAUAAGGUAGAAAAGUUUAAAGAGAAAAUAACAGUGUUCUAAGUGAAAAACUACUUGGCAUUUUUCCAGACAUACACAUUUUCAACAGAAACACUAAGAAUUAAGAGAAAAGGAGCCAAAUAAUUAAAUAGCUAGCCCUACUUCAGGGAUAUGAAAUAGAAAAUUAAAUGUGAAUAAAAUGAUACUUGGGAAUAUUGCUACCUCGUACCACAAAGGAUGUUAGUGGUCAGCCUAGGAGUUAAUCCUUCCUAGCGUGGCUCUGAGCCUUCAUGCCGAGCAGACGUUAUUCACAUGACGAUUCGAAAAGUCCAUUCAUAUAUCUCGCUACCUGGAUUUGAAUAGAAACCAGACAGCAAUUCUUUAGUUCCAGCCACCAUUCGCCCCACUGGACAAUAGAGAUUUGUUAGCACAGAGUCACAGGGCUGUGGGACACAAAGCUUGGAGCUGCAGAAAGAUGGGGGAUUCAGAGAACAGGAAAUUACAGGCUCGAUGCACUCCUGGCAGCUCUGAGAAUACAAAAAAAAAAAGGCAACACAGAGAUGCCAUGUUUAAGAGCUACUUCUAGCUUUUUUACCUCCAAUGUCAUAAAAGCUCUAUUGUUGAAGUACAUAAAGUCACGAGUCCCAUGUGCUCGCUUUUCUCACUACAGGGAACUUCAUUCAAUGUCCUUGGCACAGUAAGAAAUAUCAAAAGCAUCCUGAGUUGAUUAGUUGUAGACUCUAGUAGAAAGGAGAGUAUUUUAUAAAUAAAAUGUCAGGAGAAAAUAUGCUUAGUAACACAAGUGACACAUAAUAAAAUCAGUAUCUUUUUAAAAUUCCAAAAGACAAGAAAAAAAUAAAAUACAUCGAAACUCUAGGGACAUUAAUUUCUAAAAUAUCACAUAACCUCUAUUAUUUAAUUAUAUCCGAAUUUUCUUUAGAAGAUACAUAUCAAUUUACAGGCUAGUGUUAUACAGGAAACUUCUGAGUUCUGGAUUGUAUUUUCCAAAACAAAGAAUUAAAAUCAAAGUCCCCAGGGUUUAUUCUAGAAUAUUAGAAAGAAAAGCUACACUUUAUUGAUUAUCAAAUUAGUGUAGCUCCCUGGCUAAAUUUAGAAAUUGCCUCUACUUCCUUAAGACCUAAAAAAUAAAAUUAAUGAAUAUUCCAAGUGAGUAGGGGAGAGAGACUUCUCCAAUCUCAACAAAUGAGCAGGGGAAACAGUACAUGGAUUCUUGUCCAGGUCCUCAUGCUGCAACCUGAGCACCAACAGGCCAGACUGGUGUCCAUUUCAAUAGGAGGAGGAGACCCUGCACAAGGAAGCUGUAAAUGGUUUUGCUCUUCUGCCCUUCUGUGAUCCAUUAGCAAAUACAAGUCCUAAAUGAUACCAUAUCUGAAAGAUUCAUCAAAUGAGGCCAUGCAUGGUCAAAAAAUGCUUUGAAACAUCAAUUGUUCUCAUCUACUUGAUCCCAUGAUAAUAUGGUUUGAAGCUGAACACGUGUCAGAUUUAACGGUGCUGGAAAACAUAAUAGCAAUCUUUAAGCUACCAGCAUUUGGAUUUCCUCAAAUACUAUUAUUACUCACCAAGCACAAUCAUCAGUUACUGUUCCAAACUGUGUUGUCCAACACAGUAGCCACUAGCUCUAUGUGGCUAUUUUGAUUUAUAUUAAUCAAAAAUAAAAUUGAAAACUCAGUUUUUUAGUUAUACACACCACAUUUCAAGCACUCAAUAGCCUCAUGUGGCUAUCAUAUGGGAUAACCCAGAUAUAAGACUAUCAUGUGGCUAUCGUAUGGAUAGCCCAGAUGUAAAACAGUGCUAUCACUGAAGAAAGUUCUAUUGCACAGUGCUGAUCUAGGCUGUGCUUAUAACCAGCACACCUGUCUUCAACUACAAAACCAGCUGGACAUGAAAAAAUUUAAGUAAAAAAUACAAUGACAAGAGAAUUAGUGCCAUGAUACUUCAGAAAUGCCUUAAAAAGAAAAAAAAAAGCAUUUGAAACCAGGGAUGAGAAAAAAGGUCCAGAUCUAUUUUUUUUCCUUGGUUGCAAUGAAGACAUUACAAAGAAUAUUAGAGAGUACUGGAAGACAGGUAGUCGUGGCAGAGUAGAUGCAAUGCUCCAGAGUGGUACUAAUUGUCAAAAACUUCUUCCUAAACAUAUGAGACAAUUAAUUCUAUAGUUUUGUGGUAUCACAGCAAUGUACAAUAUGUAUAACAAAGAACCAGGGCCUAGAAGUCAGUUGGUCUUGAGUAGAUGUAUUACUAUCAACUUCACUAGCUAGAUGAUAUUAGGCAAAUUAAAUCACCUCUCUGAGACUUCAUAUCGCUAUCUGCAAAAUGGGGAAACAGACACCCUGCAGGAUUUAUAGAAGAGCUCACAAUGAAGUAUAUAAAGUAUCUAGUAAGAUGCCAGGCACAUGGUAGAGUCCAAAAAAAGAGUAGCUAUUAUUACUACAUUUUCCCCUUUAAAUAUUCACAAUGUGACUCUUGUAGACAGAUAAGAUACUAUUCAAAACACAAGGCAAGUCUUCAUAAACAAGUAUCCUAAAAUAUUAAUGCUGGCCAUGUCAACAAUUCAAUUGGAAUAAAAUGAAACAUUUGGACAGGAGAUUGCUUUUCCCAGCCAAUGUGUGACCAUGCUGUCCCAUGCAGCCUGCUUUGUCAAAAAAAAUCUCACGUUAUAUCUGGCUUACACACACACCACGUGUGUUCAGUCUUAUACUUAGGGAUAUAGGCUUAGAUUUUAAAUCAGAUGACAAAGGUCUAUAAACAGGAAGUAAACUUUUAUCUGAGUACAAAGCAAUGAUCUCCAAAUACUGGGAACCUGAUGCCUGGUCAGGAAAAUUUAAAAAGCUAUAUUAGAAAUGCAAUGAUAAGAAGUCUUAUUCUCCCUUGCUGAGAGGACAGAAGCAUUCAGAAAACCUUUAAAUGAAAAUCCUUAAAGAAAUGAUGAAUUGGGUCUUUUUUCCAAGAAACAUUUUAAACAAUCUAGAUUGUAUAACAGUAACAAUAGUAAGGAAUUGGCAAACACCCAAUGCAUUAUAGCCUUCGAUUAUUGUGAACGUGGUUUAAGACCAAGUGCAGCUUUCGUGGUUUUAAAAAAAUUUAGAAAGCCAAGGGAUUUCUAUGAUCAUCACAUGUCUUAACCCCAAAUCUACCAUCAAAUAAACUGGACAUGAUAAACAUGGAUGUGAGGUUCUUAAAUUCACAUGCCAUUCUCAGCCUAUCUUAUGCCUGCUUUGUACAAGAAACAUGAGUCUUAGGGUCAAGUGAACAGGGGCUUGACCUGGCUCUGCCCCUUAUUUACUACAGGAUCUUGUACAAGUCAUUUCCCCUCUUUGUUUCAGACUCUUCAUUCAUAAAAUACAAAUAUCAAUAACUUCCUGCCAGGCUGUUUGAAGAGUCAAGAAUAUGUAUAUACACACGGACCGGUGUUUCUGGUACAUGGAAAAUACUCUGGAAAUGCCAAUUCUGUAAAAACUCAAUAAGGGCUUGAGGUUCUGUUCAUUUUCUGAGAACUUUCCCACACACACAGAAUGAAAAUAGUACUGUUCCAGGCUGGUUCAUAGCACAGGACAUCCUCUGUUUAAAUUUUAAAUUAAAACAAACAUAUGAAUGUAAAAACUGUCAACACUGCACAAAUAACUUGUAAUCUUAGAAACAUAAACACUGAAUGAACAAACUAAAUACAGAAAAAUUAUUUGAAAAGUGAGGUGAAACAUCAGACUUCAGUAAUAUAAGGUAUAAUUUAACACUGAUACAAAGUUAGUACUGUUGAGUAUAAAAACAACCCUUUUCUUAAAUGAGAAUUAAUAUUUCCUGGAGACUCUUUUGAGUAAGAUUUCUACUACUUCCUCUUGGUGAUUAAAACAAAAACAUGAAAGUCCUAAAAUAAUGUCCAAGAGUUAGAAAUUAAAAUAACUUGAAGACAUAGAAAAGAAAAUUCAUGCCCUAAAAUCAAAGCUUUAAGAAGGAAUUCCUAGGCAAGAUAUUUUCCUACUAUAUCUGUGGAUUCAUUUUAAAGUUGAUAAUAAUCCAGCAGGAAUGAGAAUCAGGUGUUCCUUAAUGAUGCCAAAUAAGUGAAAAAUACUGGACAUGCCACAUAACCUUUUGAAGGACAUAAGCAGUAGAUUCUCUAAAGCAAACAAUGGAAGUGCGUAAGAAAGAUCAUGUGAUGUAGUUGAGAAGGAGACUUUUCUCACAGAAAUUGGCUGAACUAGAUAUGAUGUCACUCUUAGCUCUACCACCGUUUAGAUAAAUGACUUUUAACAAGUUGCUUCUGAGUCUCUAUUACCAUUGGUGGUCCAAAGAGCACAUUCAUACUAAAGGCUAAAAGAACAGACAGCACUUAAAGGUAAGAAUCUGGAUAUGCCAGAGAGGCCGCACAUUCAGCCCUCCAAUACCUCACCACCACACAAAAUGUUUUACAGGACUGCUGAAGCGGACGGAUGGAUGGAUGGAUGGAUGGAUGGAUGGAUGGAUGGAUGGAUGGAUGAAUUAAUGAAUGAAUGGAGUCUGAUGGCAAAGAUUUCCAUGGAUGCCAUCAUCAUUGACUGAUAAAUCAUAGAAGUUCUCCAGAGGAAAGGUUCCUCAAGAUCUUCAGCAGAUGGUACAGGUUCUUACUGAAUACUAAUCAAGUAUUUUUUUCUAGUCAUACAUCUAAUCAAUAUGAAGCUUCUAACAUGUAUUAGAACUAUUAGACACAGGCUGACCAAAUAUAUUACCUGCCUUCAUGGAGCUAACAAGCUAUAAACUCAGAUAAUCAUGGGCGAGAAGCCCUAUCAUUGAAGAAAUGGUAUGGGCCAGGCACGGUAGCUCACACCUAUAAUCCCAGCACUUUGGGAGAUGAAGCCAAGAGGAUCACUAGAGCCAGGAGUUCAAGACCAGGCUGGGCAAUAUGAUAAGACCCUUGUCUCUACCAAAAAAAAAGGGUAAAACUUAGCCAGACGUGGUGGUGGGUGCCUCUGGUCCCAGCUACACAGGAGGCUAAUGGCAGGAGGAUAGCUAGAGGUUGAGGCUGCAGUGAGCCAUGAUCAUCUCACUGCACUACAGCCAGGGUGACAGUGAGACCCUGUCUCAGAAAAAUAAAUGAAUAAAAUAAAUAAAUGGCAGUGAGCUGAGUUCAGAAAUUUUGGGGAUGGUCCAAUGAUUUGGGAAACUGCCUUGCCAUUUGUUAAAGUCAAACCAACAUAAUUCACAAAAUAAUGGAAAAAUAUGCUCAGCUCCAUUUCAUUCAUGCAAAGAAUUAUCCUAAACUGCAGGAUCUUAACAGACUUUCAGUGGAGUCAUCAGGCCAUUAAGAAAAUAAUAUACCUUCAAAUACAUAGGCUGAUUUCAUAAUUACCAUUAGUCAGCUCUAUGGUAAAUCACUAUCUCAUACAAAACUGAGUCACCUUUUAAUAGAUGUUUAAGAACAAGAUAAUUUCUGGAGAGGAUGAAACAAAGGAAGUCUGGAUACGGAAUGAUGUUGCAGAAGCAAUGAUACACAGGAGCAUUAAAUAUAAAGCAUAUUUUCUUAAUCUCCUUCCUGAAGACUAUGUUCUUAGCAGUUACCAUUUCCUUUAAUGACACAUGUUAUGAUAAUAAUAAUUACACAGCUAGCUAGAACUCAACUCAUGACUAAUCUGGCUCUUAACAACCAAGAAUACUUGAGACAUGGAUGAUAAAUAUGAAGAGAAUGAGAUACCAGAGUCACUACUGGGUUUCUGUGGCAAUUAAUCUUACAAACUAGAAACACGCCUACAGAGUGUCUACAUAUUAAUCUCUCCUUGGAUUGGAAUUUGCUCUUUAUUGUCUGAGGGUAAUACAAUGAAGUUGUGGUUACCAAUGCAGUAAAGUACAUUUUGCCACAAUGAAGCAAUGUUAUCUCCACAGGGUGUGAAGCUCCCAAGAUCCAGAAGUUCCAAUUAAGAAAUUUCUAUUCCAGUUACCUAACAUUAAAGAUGUUGGAUUUCCACCUAAAUUUUCUCAGUGGUAGACUCAGUAUCAUGUGGCUUUUUCUUUUUCUUUGUUCACUGAACAUUAAAGUCAAAUAGAAAAGAGGUCUGGCAAAUGUACUCAGAGCAAAUUAGGCAGUUACACCAAAAAGAAGACCUCAAUCUGGUUAUCUGUUAUUGUGACCAAGAUUUUGGUGGAAUUGCCUUUUUUUUUUUUUUUUUUGAGACAGGGUCUCACUUUGUCACCCAGGCUGGAGUGUAGUGGUGCAAUCUUGGCUCACUGCAAUCUCUCCACCUCCCAGACACAAGCAAUCCUCCUGCCUCAGCCUCCCGAGUAGCUGGGACUACAGGCAUGCACCAUCAUACCCAGCUAAUUUUUGUAUUUUUUUGUAGAGACAAGGUUUUGCCAUGUUGCCCAGGCUGGUCUUGAACUCCUGGGCUCAAGCAAUCCACCCGCCUUGGUCUUCCAAAGUGCUGGAAUUACAAGCAUGAGCAACCAUGCCUGGCCAACACUUGGCUUUCUAAUACCAUUACAUUUUGUCAAGCUCAUUUCUCUGUAUAAUCUUCUAUUACCAGAACAGAAAAAUUCCUUUUACCUGGCUAUCUAAGAGCUUCUAGGUAUACAGUUUAUUCAUUCAAGGGGUAUCUGUUGAAAGGUUAGUAUAUCCCAAACCCUGUUCUAGGCACCAGACACACAGCAGUAAACAAGACAGAGGUCUUAUACUUGGGCACCGUAGUCACAGAGACAACUUUGUAUCAGCUCGAGCACUUACUGACAUUGUGAAAUGUGCCUCUCUGAACCUCAGGUACUUCCCCUGGGGGAAAAAAGAAAAAUACUACUACUUCAUAGGGCUGUUGUAAGAAUUACAUGUUUGCCUGUGUCUAGCAUAGCACCUAGAACACCACAGAUGCUCGAUAUGUAGCUACAGUUUUACAAAUUGCAGAUAUUACUAUUAUCUACCCUACUUUCAUAUCCAUGUAUAUAAAGAUUAAUCUAGUUUUUAAAAAUAAAAGGUUUCAAAGGAGUAAGUAUAUCUAAAAUACUUGCUUCAGGUGUUAAGAGCCAAGCAGAACCAUUAAUGAAUGAAAUGCUACUGUAUAUUCCAAACACAAAACUACCUUAAAGUUGGGAUAUUAAUGGUAAAACAGAUCACUGUCCUCACACAGAUUUCAAAGGGUAGAGCAAUUUAUGUCUAGCAGUAUUACUAUUUCAACCGCUUUAAUCAGAAAUUGUAUAGAAGAAAAACAUCUAAAAGAUUUGGAGUCUCAAGUCCUAUCACAGCCAUCAAGAAGGGUAUAGAAAGCAUGUCUUUCCUCUGAAGACUGUUAUAAAAGCCUCAUAAAAAUGUUCCCUGAAGGAAUAUUCUUAGGCUGAUUGCAGUGAUAUACCUUGUAAAAUAACUUAUUUUUCAUCUUACAGUAACUGUAUGCUUAAUGCAAAUGGACUGAGAGUAAAAAUAUAAAGAUAAACAUUUAAUCAUAAUUUUUAAAGUUAUUGAUAAUCCCACAAGCUAAAGAUAUGGGCUGUCAACAUUCAAGAAUUUCCUUCUAGUCUUAUUCGUUUUAGUUAUUAGUGACUUUUAAAAUACAGUUGAUCCUUGAACAUCACAAGGGGUUAGGGGGACCGACCUCCCAUGCAGUCAAAAAUCCAUGUAUAAUUUUUGACUCUCCCAAACUUUACUAAUAGCCUACCUUUGACCAGAAGCCAUACUGAUAAACAGUUGGUUAACACAGGUUAUAUAUUAUAUUAUUAUAAUAAACUAGAGAAAAGAAAAUAUUAAGAAAAUCGUAAGGAAGGCUAAAUAUAUUUACUAUUCAUUAAGGGUAAGUGUAUUGUCAUAAAGGCCUUCAUCCUCACUGCCUUCACACUAAGUAGGCCUAGGAGGAGGAAGAGAAGGGGUUGGUCUUGCUGUCACAAGGGUGGCAGAAGAGGUAGAAGGGAAGGCAAAAGAGGCAAGCACACUCAGUGUAACUUUUACUGAAAAAUAUCCACAUGGCCAGGCACGGUGGCUCAUACCUGUAUCGCAGCACUUUGGGAGGACGAGGCGGGUGGAUCACUAGGUCAAGAAAUCAAGACCAUCCUGGCCAACAUGGUGAAACACUGUCUCUGCUAAAAAUACAAAAACAUUAGCUUGGCAUGGUGGUGCUCACCUGUAGUCCCAGCUACUCAGGAGGCUGAGGAAGGAGAAUCGCUUGAAUCCGGUAGACAAAGGUUGCAGUGAGCCGAGAUCGCACCACUGCACUGCAGCCUGGCAACAGAGCGAGACUCCAUCUCAAGAAAAGCAAAGCAAAGCAAGAUAUCCACGUAUGUGAGAACCCGCAUGAUUCAAAUCCAUGUUGUUCAAGGGUCAACUGUACUAGGAGUUUUUCUGCCAUUAUACAAAUGACACUGAUAUAUUAAUACAUAGAAAACUUAGAUAAUAUAGGAAAACAUAAAAAGUAAAAUUUGUCCCCUAUAAUCUCACUCACAGAAAAAAUCCUUACUAAUCUUAAUGUAGUUCAUACACAAUGGAAUCCAUUCUCAACAUUGAUUUUUCACAAUCAUUUGUUCAAGCAUAUUUUCAAGUCAUUAAAAAUGUUUUUUGCAGAUACCUGGAUGGUUUGCAAUUAUUCUCUACUAUAAAUACUAAUUCAAUGAACACACUUAUAAUGAAAUCACUAUCCAUGUUUCUGACAAUUUUUUUGGUCUGACCGAUUUAUACCCCUACCAGCAGGGACUGACAGUACCUGUCCCAUCCUAAGCUCACAAACACUGAGAAUGUGCUAUACAUAAUUAGCUGCUACCCAAAUAUAUUACAGUUUCUGUUUACUCAAUUAAGAAAAAAAGGGGAGUUUUUAAAGGAAAACUCAAUGUGAAAUAAAGAUAAGUAGGAAUCUCCCUAAUAAGACAAAUUAUACAUCCCUAACAAAAACCAGACAGCUGACAGCAAUCUUGAAAACCCUCUAACAGAACACAGCAUAGUAUCUGGCUCUAGAAAUCUCAAGAAGUAAAAAAAAAUCAAAAUAAAACAUUCUUCUCAUGCAUGUAUUUCAUUAACCAAUGAAAUGAAUCAAGAAUCACUCUCACCACUGAAGAAAAUAAAUGACAUCAAAAACAUUGUUGAUAAAUUAAGAGGUAUAAAAAUGAAAGUUUUUAUGUCUGAAUUAUUUAAAAUUUUUGUCAGCAAAUAGUUCUAAAUAUGGAUAUAUAUUUUGGUUUCCCAAAUAUAACAGAAAAAUAUAUAAAUUAUUAUCAAGGUAAGCAAAUAACCAAAAUAGCAUUUAUUCAACAAAUACGUAUUGAACAACUUGGUUUCAGGUAGUUUCACGUACAAGAGAUUCAAAGUUGUCAGAAAGAGUUCUUUCUUCAAAAAUCUUGCCUACAGUAACCUUUACAAUGUGGUCCUCUUAUAUCACAAAACAUUUGCCCUGCCUAACUGUUGAAAUUUCAGGUUUCAGACUGUGGCUAGAAAAAGGAAAACAUUUCAAGACAAUGAAUAAUCAAAUAUCAAAAUUUCUUGGGCGGGGAAAAAGUCACUACAAUCCAAUGGGAUAGAUUCCAUUAGCCUGGCCUCUCACCAGCACACAGAAAUAUUUACCCAAGUACCUACAGUCAAGAGGAAUUCGAGUAGCUGGGAUUACAGGCACGCACCACCAUGCCUGGCUAAUUUUUAUAUUUUUAGUAGAGAUGGGGUUUCACUAUAUUGACUAGGCUGGUCUCGAACUCCUGACCUCAAGUGAUCUGCCCACCUCAGCUUCCCAAACUGCUUGGAUUACAGGGGUGAGCCACUGCGCCCAUCCUUAUUUUCUUGAUUCAUAGGAAUAAAUAUGUAUAGUAGGCCCACAAGAAAUAUUUAUCAAGAUUAUAGCAAGUUAGAGAAACUUAAUGUCUUAUUUGGUUUUUUUUUUUUUUAGACGGAGUUUCGCUCUUGUUACCCAGGCUGGAGUGCAAUGGCGCAAUCUUGGCUCACCACAACCUCCACCUCCUGAGUUCAGGCAAUUUUCCUGCCUCAGCCUCCCCAAUAGCUGGGAUUACAGGCACGCACCACCAUGCCCAACUAAUUUUUUGUAUUUUUAGUAGAGACGGGGUUUCACCAUGUUGACCAGGAUGGUCUCGAUCUCCUGACCUCGUGAUCCACCCGCCUCAGCCUCCCAAAGUGCUGGGAUUACAGGCUUGAGCCACCACGCCCGGCCAUGUCUUAUUUGUUAAAGGGCAGAGUAGAAUAAAAACUUUAAAAUAAGAAACUUACAUACUGUUUUCCCCCUACCUUUCCCCCAACAUAAAUAUGGUCAACAUAUUUCUUAGCCUGGCAGGGUGGUUCAUGCCUGUAAUUCAGGACUUUGGGAAGCUAAAGCAGGAGGACUGCUUGAGGCCAAGAGUUUGAGACCAGCCCAGCCAACAUAGCAAGACCCCAUCUCUACAAAAACAAUUAAAAAAUUAGCCAGGUGUGACGGCCCAUGCCUACUGUCCUAGCUACUUGAGAGGCUGAGGCAGGAAGAUGGCUCGAGCCCAGGAGUUGCAUCAGUGGGCUAUAAGGACAUUGUACUCCAACCUAAAAGACCAAGUGAGACACUUUCAAAAAACAAAACAAAACACCUAUUUCUCAAAUUUCUUUUAUGUGUCUAUUUUCAGAUCAUUCUUGGUCAUUGAGAAAAGGUCUAAAAAGCUAGGAAAUGAGAAGUCUUACUACUCGAUUAUUAUAUUCUGAUAUUAUGCCUCCAGGUUAGCUCCAUGCAGAGGCAGCUGACAAACACAGCUUCAGCAAACAUCAUGAUUCCUUUAUGAUUCACUGUCAACAAUUAGUGACUGAGGACAUGAAACAGCAUGAUCAGGGAAGAAAUUCAGAGCAGAUGAAGCAAAGGGUGUGUUUAGGAGCAGUGAGGACAAGAUGUGGCUUAGCAGUAGGAUACUGGAGGCCCAAUAAUAAAAGCCCAUGUCAGGUUAAAGGGUUUAGAUUUUUAUCUAAAGAUUGUCAGGAUAUCAGGUUGUCAAGCAAAGUUAAAUUUGCAUUUAGCAACUGGAUGGAAAACAGAUUAGAAUUGGGAAGACUGGAAGCAAGGAGACCACUUGGGCUGUUGCAGCUGUUCAGAAAAAAAAAUUGUUUUGACCACAGUGGUGGCAGUAAAGAUGCAAAGGGCUGUCAUAUGCUACAUGAGUGAAUUUGAGGACAUUAUGCUAAAUGAAAUCACCAAACAACAACUACUGUAUGAUUCUACUUACAUAAGAUAUCUAAAGCAGUCAAAUACAUAGAAACAAAGUAGAAUGGUGGUUAUGAGGAACUGGGAUGAGGGGGGAAGUGGGAGCUGUUUAAUGGGUACAGAUCUUCAGAAUUCUGAAGAUCUGUUGCACAACAAAGUGACUAUACACUACUGAACUGUAUAUUUUAAAGGGGAUAAGACAGAAAAUUUCUUACAUGUUUUAGCCACAAUUUAUUUAAAUAGAUAUGAACUAGACUGCUUGUGUGUGUGUUUUACAUUUUGCUCUAUUCAACCUCUGAAAAAUGUCUCCUGCUAUAUUCCUGAGUUUUAAAAUGAAUUAUCACCAAAUGGGAUCUGAUUUGCAAGGCACCAUAAAGUUUCACAAGACCCCAAAUAGCUUACUCUAUUACUUUGUCAUGGUACUUAAUAUUUCCUCCAAAGACAUUUAUUCUUUUUUUUAAAAAGAAACAUGCUUAAAAUAUUCAUUGAAAAAUACCUGAAAUAUAAGAAGUAUUAUAGAAUAAAAAGUGGGAACUCACCAACUUUCUCACAAACCUACUCCUGACCUAAAGUAUUAUUAUUAGAUAACCUAAGUUUAUCUAAUGUAAAUACACAGGAAAAUGUAAAUAUAAAGGAAAAAGUCAUUCUUUAAGGUCAUUCUUAAGUGACUAAAACAAAGCCAAUAACUAGAGAUGGUAUUUUAACAAAAGCCCUUGAGUUCCAUGUUUCACCUCAAACUUUUAAACCCAGUUGCUUUUUUUUAAAAAAAAUUUUUUUUAUUCAAGUGUAAAAAUAUAGUAAAGUGCACACAUCUCAAACAGUUCAAUCAACUUUCACAAAGUGAACAUACCUAGAGAAUCAACGUCUAAAUCAAGAUGUAAAAUACUACUAACACCUCAGAACCUUGUGCCCUCCAGCCAUUCUACCCUCAAUAAAGGUAACCACUAUUCUGAUCUCUAUCAUCUAGUUUUGUCUAUUUUUGAACUUUAUAUAAAGAGAAUCCCAUACUAUGGAAUACUUUGUGCCUGACGUUUUUUGCUCAACAUCCUGUCUAGGAGAUGCAACCACGCUGCUGCAUGCUGUGAUGGUGUAUCCUUAUUACCACUACGCAGUAUUCCAUUACGUGUAUUUUCUCACUCUUAUUUGUCCAUUCUACUAUUAAUGAAUAUUUAGUUGUUUCUAGUUUGGGACUAUUACAAAUAAUGCUACUAUAUACAUUCUUGUAUUUAUCUUUCAGUGCACAUGUUAUGCAUUUUUGUUGGGUAUAUGCCUAGAAAUGGAAUUGCUUGGCUGGGCACAGUGGCUCACACCUAUAAAGCCAACACUUUGGGAGGCCAAGGCAGGCAGAUCAUGAGGUCAGGACUUCGAGACCAGCCUGGCCAACAUAGGGAAACCCCAUCUCUAUUAAAAAUAUAAAAAUUAGCCAGGUGUGGUGGCACGCAUCUGUAGUUCCAGCUACUCAGGAGGCUGAGACAGGAGAAUGGCUUGAACCCGGGAGGCAGAGGUUGUAGUGAGCUGAGAUCAUGCCACUGCACUCCAGCCUGGGUGACACAGCGAAACUCCAUUUCCAAAUAAAAAAAAGGAAAGGGAGGGGAGGGAAGAAGGAAUGGAAUUGCUUAAGUUCAAGUUUCCCAGAUGCUACUAGAAGUUUCAAAGGAUUUGGAUCAAUUUAUACUCCACUUCUGCCAACAGAAUUUGAGUGGUCCAGUUGUUUUCACCAACAAUUUGUAUGUCAGUCUCGUGGGUAUUCAGUAGCAUAUCCUUAAUUUUAGCCAGUCUGGUGGGUAUGCAGUGGCAUAUCCUUUUUCUAAAUUUCAUUUCUCUGUUAUUUAGUGAUGCUGAGUAUUUUGGGCUAGAUUCUGAUAGAUAUUUGAGGGGCAGACUUAAUAAAUCUUAGUGCCUAAUUGGUUGGGGAGAAAGAAAAGAAACAUCUAGAAUAAUAGAAAAAUGAAACAUCUAUCAUGAUAGAAACAUCAAGAAUGAUAGAAAAAUAAAAGAUAUUUGGAGAGAGGGAGGGAACAGAAACCAUUUUCAUUUCUGAAAUGAUUAGGUUGUGUUUACCCAAGAGUAACUGACAUGUAAGAUUCAAGAACGAACUACAGCUGAGCUAGGCAUGGAAGCUCAUGCCUAUAGCCUUAGCACCUUGAGAGGCCGAGGCCAGCGGACUGCUUGAGCCCAGGAGUUCAAGAUCAGCCUCAGCAACAUGGCAAAACUCCAUCUCUAGAAAAAAUACAAAGAUUAACCAGGUGUGGUUGCAUGUGCCUGUAGUCCCAUCCACUUGGGAAGUCGAUGUGGGAGGAUCACUUGAACCCAGGAGGUUGAGGUUGUCAUUACAGUGAGCUAUGAUUGGACCACUGCACUCCAGCUGGGUGACAAAAAAAGAGUUAACUGCAUGCAACUACUGAGACUUAGUGGACAUAUGAAGGUUCUCCCAUAAAACUCCCAUAAUUUAAAACAGACCAAAAAACUCCAAUGUCAUACUGCCAUAUCUCAGGUGGUAAAGAAAAUAAAUUUACAAUCCUAAGGAGGCAAAAUAAACUAAAGUACAAUACCUCAAAACGAGAAUCUCAACCUGGGUGUGGUGGUAUGUGUCUGCAGUCUUAGCUACUUGAGAGGCUGGGGCAGAAAUAAAUAUCACAGAUGCUUAAGAAUGUCCCACUAUGAGCUGGGCAUAGUGGCUCUUGCCUGUAAUCCCAGCACUUUCGGAGGCUGAGGCAGGAGGAUCACAAAGUCAGGAGUUCGAGACCAGCCUGACCAACGGUGAAACCCUAUCUCUACUAAAAAUAAAAUUUUUUAAAAAAUUAGUCAGGCAUGGUGGUGCGUGCCUGUAAUCCCAGCUACUCAGGAGGCUGAGGCAGGAGUAUCACUUGAACCCAGGAGGUGGAAGUUGCAGUGAGCCGAGAUCAUGCCACUGCCCUCCAGCCUAGGCGAGAUCAUGCCACUGCCCUCCAGCCUAGACACAGUGAGACUCCAUCUCAUAAAUAAAUAAAUAAAUAACCCACUACAACUUCUAGCAAUCCCUGUGAAGAUAUAAAAAAGAAAUCUACAGUCAUGAAUCCUAGGCAAAUAUAAUUAAAGAAAAAAGUUAAAGCUUUCAUAAAAGAUAAGUUCACUAAAUGCAUGGUUUCAUGAAGACAUUAGACAAAAAUCUCCUGUUUUCAAACAAUAAGGUCAUCUCUAACACCUAUCAAGUUUCUCUAUUGUGAGCACCUAAAAAAAGAUAAACAGGAGCAAUGAUUAAUAAACAAAUAUGUGAGGAUUAAGAAUGAGGAACAAGAUUUGGAACUAGGCUCUGUCCUCUGAGAUUCACCUCAUUUUCCAUCACAUACUAGGUGGUAGUUAAGACCUUGGUCUCUGUAGUCAAGCAAACCUGUCUUCAAAUCUUAGCUCUGUAUGUUCUUAGCUAUGUGACCCUCGGCAAAUGACUUUUCUCUAGCUUCACUUUUCUCAUUUCCAAAAUGAGAAUAAUCGACAUAACCAUUGUCAACAUUAAAUGGGUAAUAUAAGCACUUAGUACAAUGCCUGACCCAUAGUAGGUGCUCCAUAUAUGUUAGCUGAUAUUAUCACCUGUGAAAUGGAGACCAAUUCACACACCCAUAAGACUGAAAAGAAGUAAAAUGACAUGUAUAAUGCCUAGGUACACAGGAGGCACUCAAAUGGUAGAUAAUGUUACCCCCUACACUUUUCAGGAACUCCCUAUCAUUCAGUGUCAAACUGAGUAUGAAACGAUACAUUAUGAAGCUGGAUUUCCUGAGUUCAAAUCCUGGCUCUGCCACUUAUUAUCUGUGUGAUCUUGAGCAAUUUAUUUCCCUUACUGUGUCUUUCUAUUUUCAUCUGUAAAAUGAGAAAAACAAAAAGUAUUUAUCUAAUUGGGUUGUUGUGAGGAUAAGACAAGCCCUCUUUUAACUGCUUUACAUAUAAAGUCCUAAAAAUAAAAUCUGGAACACAAGUGCUAUAUAAAUAUUAAUUAUUAUUAUUUUUUUUUCUUUUUUUUUGAGACGAAGUCUUGCUCUGUCACCCAGGCUGGAGUGUAGUGGCACAAUCUCGGCUCACUGUAACCUCUGCCUCCUGGGUUCAAACGAUUCUCCUGCCUCAGCCUCCCCAGUAGGUGGGAUUACAGGAGCCCACCACCAUGCCCUACUAAUUUUUGUAUUUUUAGUAGACACAGGGUUUCACCAUGUUGGCCAGGCUGGUCUCAAACUCCUGACCUCAUGACCUGCCUGUCUCGGCCUCUCAAAGUGCUAGGAUUACAGGGCCACUGUGCCCAGCCCCUAUUAUUGUCUUAAUAGCAGAGAUACACAUGCUUUGAGGCUGCUUCACAUUAAAGAAAUAGAUUUGGAGAUAAGUAACUUAACAUUUUUCUUAUAUUUAAGAAUGGCCCAAUGGAAAUAUACAUAUACCCAUCUUCAAAAUUGGGAGAAAAAAAGGCUGAAGGAAUAGCAAAUUAUAGCACAGGAACUAUGUAACUCCUAAGCAAAUGUGACCUCAUCCAUCCAGAAACGAGUAUGAAAAAAAUGUAUUUUCUAGCUGUGCCUUAACCAUGUAAUCAGUUAGAUAAAGGAGUCCUACAUUCCAGAGAGAGAAAAGGAAAUCAUUCUUUUUUGCUCUUACCUUAUAACAAACUGAUAACCAACACAGCUAACCUUUGUGCAUUCUCACAUCUUUUUUAGAUGAAGAAAAUAUCUCUUAGAACAGAAUAAUCAAUUCUGGAAGCUUUCUUAGAAAUGCCUUCCUGCAUUACACUAGUCUUUUCUUCCCACACUCCACAUACUUCAUCCCUGGGCAGGUCAGAAGAGGUAUCUAAAGAGGCAAAAAUGCGAGCAAGUAAGCAUUCUUUAGAAAUGAAAGGAAAUACUGUGCUUCUUCCUAGAGAGUCAUGGAGUUCAUCCUGAGAACUGGCUUCUGCUGCUGACUUACAAAGCAAACAAAAUACUGAACUGUAUAAACAACAAAUAAAAUCAGUGAAUUGUAAUUUACCUAAGAGUCUGUGCCUCCUACCGGAUUGUAACUUAUUGAAAAUAUACCUUAUUCAUUACCAGCAUCUAGCACAUUGCCUGGUUUACACUGAAGGUGUUCAGUAAGUGUUGAUUGAAUAGAGUCAGUGAGCAUCUCCUACUUGUACAAGGUACUGUUAGGUGCCAGACAGCCGAUAAUGGUUCACUUAUGUUGAUGUCAAAGAUUUUUAUUUGAAAUUUAAAUAUAACCAGGUCUGGCUAAAGAACUGGAGCUGUAGUUGCACCUGCUAUCAACUCAGAUUUAUUCCCAAUAGUAAAGCUACCCUCAUCUGCAUGCCUUCUGAUAUUUCUCCCAAAUGAUUAGAAGCCACUUCCCAUGUAGCCCUAGUGUGUAAUUCUUUCUGCUCAGCAAAGGAGGCAGUCUAGAAUCUUUAGUCAUAAAAAUGAUGGUUAGCAACAAUAAGCAAGUGCUGGGCAAGCCCAGUACACUUCCACAUGAAAUCUUUCCAUCUAGAAUUCUCAAUUGAAGGUGCCAGACUCAAUCCAGAACAUCUGGAUCUGCUUCUCUGGCUUCAAGCUUUCUCCAAGAGAGGCUAGGAAAGAAGUAUGCUCUUCCCAGUAUGUGUAUGUGUAAUUGUAUAUUCAAAUACUGUACUUUGGAUAAGAGUCCAAGACUUGGCAAAUGGAUGGAAUGUAGUAGAUGGAACUGCCUGAAUAGAUACACAUGCUAAGAGAAGGGUUUUCUUGCAAAAUAUAAACAGGCAUGGUGUGAAUUGCCCCUCUGUGUCACGAGUUAGAAUUCACCCAGGAGAGUAAAUUCUUAGGAAUCAGUGGGGGAAUAACAUGUGAGAGGCAAAACAGCACCAUUCCCUUGGAAAACAGCAAAUUUAUCAAACAAUAACUCUUUACUUCCCCCUUAAAUAAGACAAGUAAGACAAAUAUAUGUAAUUAUAAUUCAAUCCAUACAGAAAAAAAUAUUGAGCUGCAAACUCUGGCAAACAGACAGUGCUGAAAUUAAACAUUGUGAGCUUUGGCAGCUGCACCAUGUACUCUCAAAUUCUUACAUCAUUACUCUGGUAAGGGCCCUGUACCAACUUGGCUCGUUCUGAUGUGGUUGGGAGGGAGGAUUUCUAGCCUUUUAUUUAAAAAAAAAAAAAAUGACCAAUAUAUAUAGCCCCUUUUCGUGCCACAGGGAAAUAAAUAUCUCCUUUUUCUCCAGAUUUUGCUUUAAAAGACAAAGCCAUAUUGCCACGUUAUUAAGAAAGUGUUAGAAAUUAUUAUGAGAUACUUAAGGGCCACUUAAUACAAGUUCUAAAAAGACUGCUAAAACAGUACAUGGAUCUCUCUAAAAGUAGCGAUAAUACAACAAUAAAGAGUCAGUUUACAGAGUGAUGAUUACCUUCUUAUUUAUAUUCUGAUACUGGAAGCUUAAGUAUUAUAGGGGUUAAGAAAGGGGGAGCCCUCCCUUCUUUAGCCAUGAGAACUUGAACAAGUUACUUAACCACAGAUCCUCAGCAUCCUCGAAUACCAAAUGAAAUAGUAAUGUCACCAUCUGAGAUGGUUCUUCUCACAAGAUCAGAUAUAUGGCAAGUCCUCAAUAAGUACUAGACAAACUUAUGAAUGACAGAACCUUUAAAACUGGUAAUUAGAGUUAUCAUAUAUACUUAACAGAGCUAAAUGGUCACCUUUACUUCACUCAUAUUCAAGACUGAAAAGAGCUUUCACAUAAGCUAGUUUCAAGAUCAGAACUGGGUUUGUCCCCUUUCAACAACUGACACCACAAAAAUAAGACUUCAUUCUCUGUUUCCCUCCAGUAGCAUCUAAGAAAAACACAAAAUUCCAAACCUCAAAAAUAGCAGUUUAAAGAAGGGGAGAAAAAGGCCUUAGUGCUUAUAAACUAGAUAUAUAAUUUGACAUGCUUAGAGUGAUAGGAUUAUUUUUCCUAUCAUGAAAUAUUUCAAAUUUUCCUAAAAAAUGGUAAUAAUAGUAUAGUAACUACCAAUAUUUACUUUCAAACAAUUAUUACCGUUUUGCUUUUUUUCUGGAGACAGUCUCACUUUGUUACCCAGGCUGGAGUGCAGUGGGUCGAUCUCAGCUCACUGCAGCUUCAACCUCCCAUACUCAAGUGAUCCUCCUGCCUCAGCCCGACAAGUAGCUGGGACUACAGGUGCUCACCACCACACUGGCUAAUUUUUGUAUUUUUUUGUAAAGACGGGAUUUCAUCAUGUUGCCCAGGCUAGUCUUGAAUGCCUGAGCUCAAGUCAUCUAUCUGCCUGCUUCAACCUCCCAAAGUGCUAGGAUUACAAGCGUGAGCCACUGUGCCAAGCUUUGUUUAACCUUUUGAGGUAUAAUUUACAUAUGGUAAGGUAAACAAAUCUUAAGUUUGAUAAAGUGUUUUCAUAUGUAUUAUAUAUGUUAACUACUAUCCAGAUCAAGCUAUGGACACACAUUUACUGCUGCCCACAAGAUUCCCUUGUGACCUUUCUCUCCAAAACAUACUUACCAUUCUAAUCUCAGAGUAUUAUUUUUCACAUUAGGUUUUCCUUUUACCACUAAUAACCAAAUCCAGCCUUUACUUUUCUGUUUUCUUAAUAGUUUGCCAACGUCUAUUUCAAUCCUAAGUAUUCUGGCUACAUGACCCCAUGAAACAGAGAAAGUCUAUAUAACACGAAAAGACCUUACGAUUUAGAAUGCACACAAGCCUAACAUCUUUAAAGGGUCCAGAAGACUGAGAAUGCUACUGUAAAAGAAACCAAAAGGAAACAUGGAAUUCAUUUUGAUUUAAAUAAAUCCUAAAGAAAAUGCACUAGACUGUUUCUUUAAAAAAAAAAAAAAAAGCCUGUAAUUAGUAUAGAUUUCUAAAUCAUUAAGAGAAUAUCUUUGUUAAGAAUAUUCAGCUGAAUAUUUAAACCUAAAUGUUUUUAUUAGCUGUCAGUAUCUGAGUAAAUCCCAUUCCAGUUGCAUUUUCCUUAAACUUCACAACCAUUUUAAGGUCAUGCUCUCAUGCCUAGAAGCUGACAACCUUCUUAAAAGAGCCUACACAAUCUUAGCCCUACUCCAUAUACACAAAUUAAAAGAGAACUCUAAUCAUCACUUUUUCUUGGAGUAAUGUCCUAAGUCUGAAUAAUGUACACAUCAUCACCCUUCAGUAACUGUAAAACUUAGCAUUUCAAUCAAAUGACACAACCUAGCUGAUCUGACAUAUUGAGCAACACGCACCACUGCUCAUGUAGCCGAACAACACGUAACUGCAAAUUACUUUGGUACAUGCAAACCAAGCACUUCUAGGGACAACUGGAGAACAAUGAAGUGAGAGAGAAGAUGUAAGUGUAAUAACAAAUGCAAUAACCACUACCUUAUCAUAAAGGUUGUUGUAAGUGUUUACUAAGAUAAUAUAAAGAAAGGCUAUUACUGUUCUUACCUCAUCACCUCCUUAGACUUACCUGGACUAAGUUAUGAUUUGAGAAAUGCCCUUCCCUCACUUCCAUCUCCUGGAAUGGAACAAAUAAGGAUCUGCUUCUCACAGCCAAACUCUCUCUAGUUCAUUUAUAUAACUGAAUAUUCCUGGAAGAGUUAAGAAGGAAACUUUUGGAUAAAUUCCUUUAGUCAGUUUGCUUUCAUAUAGCCCAGUUAAGACCUCACUCAGGAAAUAAAAUUUUAAGAAAGUAGUAAGAAAGCCCCAAAGGGGAGGGAUCCAGUCUUAACUUUCUAGAAGCAAAAAAGACAUGCUGAGGUCAUUCUAGGAAGAAAAGGCAGCUGGCCCCAGUGGUCAUGCCUGUAAGCUACUCAGGAGGCUAAGGCAGGAGGACUGCUUAGAAACCGGCCUAAGCAACACAGCAAGACCCCUGUCUCUAGAAAUUAAGAAAGAAAAGGCCUCCAUUUUGUGUGUGGCUUACAAAAACAGAGCAAUUUUUAUAACUGGUUGCUUCUGAUCAGUAUUCAUUUUGGAGGCAUGAAUUCACCUGCCAGUUAUUGGCUAUACUGUGACUGACACCUUUGUUCGCCAAACUGAUUUGUUAAGCUGUAAACUGACUACUUCCAAUGCUAAAACGACUAGCAAGCUGGACCUGUGCAGCUUUCUUCUAUCUGCCUUAAUCUAAAAACUAAAUGUAGUAUCAAAUCUACUCAGCAGGUCCACACCUGCCCCCCACCCCACCAAUUAUCUUGUCAUAGAACCAACUGUAAGGAGCCAAAAAGGGUAAUAUUUAACCAAGACACAACUGCUUGCAGUAUAACAUUAGCAGUAAAAACAAAAAUGUUUUUCAUUACUUUUCAAAUCUUAAGAGUUUGAAAAAAGGCUAAGCAUGGACGCUCAUGCCUGUAAUCCCAGCACUUUGGGAGGCCAAGGCAGUGGAUCACUUUAGGUCAGAAGUUCAAGACCAGCUUGGCCUACCUGGUGAAACCCCAUCUCUACUAAAAAUACAAAAAGAAAUUAGCCAGUCAUGGUGGCAAAUGCCUGUAAUCCCAGCAACAUGGGAGGCUGAAGUGAGAGAGUCACUUGAACCGGGGAGCUGGAGGUUGCAGUGAGUCAAGAUCAUGCCACUGAACUUGAGCCUGGGCGACAGAAAGAGAUUCCAUCUCAAAAAAAAAAAAAAAAAAAAAAAAAAUUAAGAGUUUGAAAAAAAGACCUAACACCCACCAAAAUUAUGGAUGCAACUUCCAAAAUAGACAAGAUUAUAUGGUGAUUAUUUGUAUCUCAAAAGGAAAUUCUGAGUUACACAUUAUAUGUAAUGAUACAUAUAGUCAAAUGUGUUUAUAUGUGUGUUUACGUACAUAUAUGUGAAUCAUGAUGUGUAACAUUCAAAGAAUGUUCCAAAAAGGGGCUAUUUCUUACUAAUAGCUACUAAAUGCUAAACCCUGCAAAAGGCACUAUUAACCUCUCCAUCUGGACACUACUUGGCAUGCUGUAUAAUUGCUCAUUUUCCCAAAACCAUAAAAAAGUAAAUGCCAUGUGAUUUAAUUCUUAUCCCCCCUGCAAUCAGAAUCCACAUAGAAACAAUAUUGUCCAAUCAACAUCUAUUAAAUAAACUGAACUGACUUAAUAAUAAAAAGAUAAACUUGAGCACAGGGAUCAGUGAGGCUCAGAAAAUACAGUGUUUACGAUGUGAACACACAAAAACUGAGUGUAUAAAGUACAGAGGAAAAAAGAAGUUGCUAAAUAUUUAGGCAAUAAGCAUUGACAGAUCAACCUUUAUUGAGCUCCACUGUGCAAACAAGCCCCAGGGAGAUGCCAAACAAUACAGGGUUUGUCUCCUCUCAUAUAGCCUACUGCAGCCAUGAAUAUUAGCUCUGAAGGGACUAGGGGAUUUUCCCACCAUUUGCCUAACAUCUGAACUCCAAACCACUGGUUCUCAAAGUGGGGUCCACAUAUGUCUCCCAGACUCUUUCUGGGAGUCUGAAAAGUCAAAACUACUACCAUACUAACUCUAAGACUUUAUUUGCCUUUUUCACUAUGUUGACCUUUGUAAUGAUGGUACAAAGUCAAUGCUGGGUUAAACUGCUGCACUUGGCAGUAAUUAAGCAGUGGCACCAAAAUGUACCAAUAGUCACUGUAUUUGUCACUGUCACACACUACAGAAAAAAGGAAGGAAAGCCAUUUUAACUUAAUAAUGUCCUUGAUGAAGCAGUAAGGUUUAAUAAUUUUAUUAAAUCCUGACCCUGAGCAAACAUCUUUUAAAAUAUUUUGUGUAACAAAAUGGUAAGUACAUAUAAACCACUUCUGUACACUGGCUGCUUCAAGUAGCAGCACUGGUGUUAUUGUUUAAGUUAUAAGCUGAACUAGCCCAUUUUUUAAAUUGACUAUCACUUGACUUACACUGAACAAUCUGUAGUUAUUCACACUUGGGUAUUUGACAGAUAUUUUCUUGAAAAGGAACAAAGUGAGCGUGUCACUUCAAGGAAAAUAAGUGACAGUAUUUGUUGCCAAUCAUAACAUUUGAGCUUUUAAGCCAAAAUUAGAAUUUUGGGAAACUUUUAUUGUCACUGUGAGCUUCACAGGUUCCAGAUAUUUAAAGACAGGUCUGAUGAGUUCAAUGAUGAUAUUAGCAAACUUAAUUUUGUGAUAUUAUGUAAUAUGUCAAUAUUUAGAAAAUCUGCAUAACUCAGUGAACAAGUAUUUUCCAAAUGACCAAUGUAUUAUGUUACAAAAUCAUGUCUGGGUAAAAAAUCUAUGAAAAAUACAAGACAGACAAAUGAAUUUUAAUAAAAUCAAGUAUGGAAAGCUCAUUGAUAUAGUUUGAUUCCAUACUGCAACUAACCUUUAAACUACCAAGUAUUAAGAUCUAGUACAGUAUCAAAAGAAGAAUAUGCAAAAUUGCCUGAAGUGACCAUAAAAAAAUCUUUUUCUAUGUAUCUAUGUAAAACCAGAAUUUCUUCAUACACUUUAACCCAAACAAUAUAUUGUAACAGAUAUAUGCAGAUAUGAAAAUUCAGCCAUCCUUUAUGAAGUCAGACAUUAAAGAGAUCUGCAAAAUUGUAAAAUGAUGUCAUUCGUCUCAACAAUUUUUAAAAGAUAUUUUUAUAGCUUUAUUUUAAAAUGUUACUUAAUAUAUAAUGGUUUAUCACUUUUAUUUAAUCUUUAAAUGAAUUAAAAUAUUUUUAAGCUUCUAAAUGUAAUUUCUAGAAAGUAAAAAUUGAUAGUUAUAGCCCACAUAAAUAAAAGCUCUUGAGAACGUCAAUAAUUUUUAUGAAUGUAAGGGGGUCCCUGGGACCAGAAAGUUUGAAAACCAUUGCUCUAUGGACAAUAAUCUUUGUGCGGCAAGAGAUCUUAGGGGUCUUGAUUCUGUUUGGUUUAGGCCGAUAAAAUUUUUUAUGAAAAAGUAUGGAAACUGAAGUAUCAUAUACAAUAGUCAAGACUUGAAUCAAAGGCCAGACAUGGUGGCUCACGCCUGAAAUCCCAGCAUUUUGGAAAGCUGAAGUGGGAGGAUUACUUGAGUCCAGGAGCUCAAGAGCAGCCUAGGCAACACAAUGAGACCCUGACUCUGCAAAAAAUGAAAAAAUUAGACAUGGUGAUGCAUACCUGUGGUCCCAACAACUUGGGAAGCUGAGGUGGAAGGAUCACUUGAGCCCAGGAGGUUGAAGCUGCAGUGAGCUGGGAUCACGCCACUGCAUUCCAACCUGGGUGACAGAGCGAGACUCUGCCUCAAAAAAAUAAAAGAAAAAAAGACUUAAAUUUGCAUCUCCUGACUUCAAUUUUAUAUUCUUUCUACAUCACAAUUCCUCUGCUCACAAAGACGAUGAUUUAGAAACCCCUCGGUCCAUUCUUUAGAGUAAGCUGGAAGUUUGGUCAUAUAAUUACAAUAAUAGUAGUAACAAAUUUGAAUGUUAUGUGCCAGGUGUUUUUAUAUCCCUGCUCUCACUUAAUUCAUACCACUCUGUGAGAUAAAUACAAUUGCUGCAGGUGUGGUGGCUCACACCUGUAAUUCCAGACUUUGGAAGACCGAGGUGGGUGGAUCACCUGAGGUCAGGAGGUAGAGACCAGCCUGGUCAACAUGGUGAAACCCCAUCCCUACUAAAAAUACAAAAAAUAGCUGGGCAUGGUGGCAGAUGCUUGUAAUCCCAGCUACUUGAGAAGCUGAGGCUGGAGAAUCACUUGAAUCCGGGAGGCAGGGGUUGCAGCGAGCCAAGAUCACCACUGCACUCCAGCCUGGGCAACAAGAGCAAAACUCCAUCUCAAAAAUAAAAAAAUAGAAAUAAACACAAUUACUUACUAACCUUCAUUUUACAGAUGAAAAACUGAGGUUAAACCACUUGUCAGAAGUCACACAGCUACUAAACGGCAGAACCAGAAUUUGAAAAUAAUGCUUCUAAUAAAUAUAUUAGCAAAAAAGUCUCAUAACUGCCAAUCAAAACAUUUGUGUGGAUAUUAGCAAAGUGGCAUUUAUGGAAAUAGAGGACCUGUGACUUUUGCCCAGUGUGCCUUCAAAUACAGACAGAACAAAAUACUAGCCUGGAGUAUGGCCAUACAAAUUUAGUUCUAUACAGGCAACAGCAAGAAAACAAGCAAAUAGGGAGAUGUGCUAGGUAUGAUCAAGCUGCCUCUCUUCCUUACCCAUCCAGCAUCUCUACCAUCACCCAUUAAAAAGGAGUGAUAGAAGUCAAAGGUGAAGGAUCCAUCACCGACAGUGGGGACAGUGAAAACUCUUGGCAGGUGUCCUCUAAGCUCUAACUCCAUGCCUAUGCAAACUAACCCGCAAGCCAAGUACUCCUGGCUUUAUCACACUGAGUGUUGACAAGAGCCAUCAUUAGUGUCCAAACUCCACUUUUCCCAGACUGAUGACACGUGUCUGCCCUUGAUUCCUGGUGCCACUCUUGCCUGCCAACUCAGGAAAGGUGUCUGUAAUGCCUUCGGCUUUUCUGAAAUACCUUUGGAACACAAGGCAGCAGCUGACACCAACUCUCUCCUGAGGAUGGACACUUGGCCAGGAGCCCAAGCUAAAGAUUAGGAGGUUCUUGAUCUCGAUUAAAAUCAUUCCUACCUUCUUACUGGCAAUUAAAAUAAAUUCCUCCCCAAAAAGCAGCCAGGGGUUCCUCGAGCCUCUUCCAUCCAGUGGUAGUCACCUUUGAUUUAAAAAAAAGUGGUAAAGUGUAGCAGCAGCUCUUAAAUGUCAGAGCCAGAAGGACCGUCACAGAGUUUUGAUCACUUUACAGCUAUUUCUCAUUUCAUACCAUGGUCAGAUUUUAAGCCAACACCACUCAGCAUUGCUUACUUAGUCAACUCCUUCAGGAAAGCCUAUCAAAUCCAAGUCAAUCGUCCAUUUACAAUAGUUUUGGGUGCUUCCCUAAUGCUAAGAUGUUUGACCCAAAGGGCAGAUUCUGACUUGAAGGCUAUGUAUCUUGCAGAUGGCCAAUAGGGAACUUCUACAAAAAGCAUUCUUUUUCAUGAUGGAGAGGCAAUGAGGUAUAAUUAUGAUAAACACACAUACAUGUAGUCAAAGAUUUUAAUUCUGACCCUGCUGUGUGACUUAGAAUCUUCACUUCCCUUCUAAAUCUGUUUCUUCAUCUGUUAAAUUAAGAUCUUUAGCCUAAAUAAGAGAUUCCUCAAGAUCCAUAAAAUGACUGUACCAGAAUAAUCCGAAUGCCUUUGAAAAAUAGAGAAUUAACUCCUAGAAAAGCUGAUUAGUAAAUCUGGGGUGAUACCUCAGAAUCUGCACCUUUAGCAGGCUACAUUUCCCAUCUACCACUUUUUCUGGGAGGAGUAGGGGGAGACAGGGUCUCACUCUGUCACCCAGGCUGGAGUGCAGUUGCACAAGCACAGCAGCCUUGACCAAAUCUUGGGCUUAAGCCAAUAUCGCCACCUUAGCCUCCUAUGUAGCUAGAACUACAGGCAUGCAUCACACCGCUGGGCAAAUUUUUUUAAUUUUUAGUAAAGAUGGGGUCUCCCUAUGUUGCCCUGGCUGGUCUCAAACUCCUGGGCCCAAGUGAUCCUUCUACCGUGGCCUCCCAAAGUGCUGAGAUUACGAGUGUGAGCCACUGUCCCCAGCCUACACUUUCAAUUCUGAUGCAAAAGUCAGAUUUGGAAACCAUGAGGCUAAAUGACCUUUAACACUACUGAUAGCUUUGAAAGUUAUAAAAUUGUAGAUUGAAACUUAUUUUCUAUUUAUUCAACCUAGAAAUUUUUCCCCAUUCAUGAUGGAGCUUUGAGUAGCAUUCCCAUUCAAACAUCAGCAUUGUCAAUUUCAGGUUAGCAAUGGAGACCUAAGUCCAAAAACAAUCCACCAAGUAAUUAAUAGUUUGCCCAACCUAGUACAGUAUUAUUUCAUUUACAAAAGUAUGAGGUAGAUCUAAGCAUAGCUUUUCUACAGAACAGGCAUUUUUUAAUAACACUUUUAAGAUAUCGUAUUUUGGAAAAAUUCAACUAUUUGCUGGAAAUAACCAAGAAAGGCAACAUUAAAAAGCAUUUUCCCUGUUAUUAAAUAACUCAAAAUAGUUAUAAAAGGAAUAUGUCUACUUAUCAAUACCUUACAAUACCUUAACACAAAUCUAUACUCUACCUGAGGGGAUAAUAAACUUUAUAAGAACAGAGCUCAAGUUUUUGAAGUAUAAAUUACCAUACAAUUAAAUUUAACCCAAUAAACAAAAAUAAGUCAGAGGCAGAAACAGUCAUAUCACUGAUACAUCAUCUGUGUUUCAUAACUGUAAAAAAGGAAAGAUUGAGUUCUUUGAUAACUGUUCUUGUUUAUUUCAUUAACUGGUUGUUACAAAACACAUGCCUAUUGGCUUUAAAGAACUUUUAAAAUCUCUGCCAAUACUUUUCACAUACUACAAUACAAACCCAGAUUCUCUCCAGUUCAUUCUUUAAUUUCCAUGAAUAUCAAUCAGCUGCUGCAUGAUAUUGGUUCCUGCUGCUUUUACAGCUUUAUAUUUCCAACUUAUUAUUCACUCAGCUUAAUUUGAACAGUAAUGCCGCACGGAGUAACUUAGAAGAAUCUUUCCCUGAUUACAAAUAUCCUAUGAAUUAAUUUACCAUGAAAAAAAUGAGUCCUGCUUCCUGUGUAUCUGCAAAAUAAUCUAAAAUAGUAAUAUCUCAAAAAAGUAGUCACUGUAAUGAGGGGAUAUAGAAAUUGGGUGCCUCUUUAAAAGUUUUUUUUUUUUUGGCCAGGCACAGUGGCUCACGCUUGUAAUCUCAGCACUUUGGGAGGACAAAGCGGGCAGAUCAUGAGAUCAGGAGAUCGAGACCAUCCUGGAUAACAUAGUGAAACCCUUUCUCUACUAAAAAAUACAAAAAUUAGCCAGGUAUGGUGGCACAUGCCUGUAGUUCCAGCUACUCGGGAGGCUGAGGCAGGAGAAUCCCUUCAACCCAGGAGGCGGAGGUUGAAGUGAUCAGAGAUUGCACCACUGCACUCCAGCCUGGGUGGACGAAGUGAGAUUCCGUCUCAAAAAAAAAAAAAAGAGAGAGAGUGAGUUGUGGUUUUGUUCUUUUCUUUUCUUUUCUUUUAAUAACAGGGUCACAGUGUGUUGCCCAGGCUGGAGUGCAGUGGCAUAAACACGGCUGACUGAAGCCUCAACCUCCUGGGCUCAAGCAGUCCUCCUGCCAUAACCUCCUGAGUAGCUGGAGUCACAGGCACACACCAUCACACCCAGCUAAUUUUUCAUAGAGAUGGGGGGUCUUGCCAUGUUGCCCAGGCUGGUCUUGAACUUCUGGGCUCAAGCAAUACUUCCCUCCCCAGCCACCUAAAGUGCUGGGAUUAUAGGCAUAAGCCACUGUCCCAAGUCAAAGUAUUUUGAAAGGCUUUGAAUUAUGUGUUUCAUUUGAAAAGAAAUAUUGCCUUUAGCACUGGAGUGCAGUGGCGCGACAUCGGCUCACUGCAACUUCUGCCUCCCAGGUUCAACUAAUUCUCCUGCCUCAGCCUCCCAUAGCUGGGAUUAUAGGUACCUCCAACCAUGCCCGGCUAAUUUUUGUAUUUUUAGUAGAGACAAGUUCACCAUGUUGGCCCACGCUGCUCUCAAACUGCUGACCUCAGGUGAUCCACCCACCUCAGCCUCCCAGAGUGCUGGGAUUACAGGCAUGAGCCACUGCACCAGCCUUUUCUUUCCUUUUAAGAGAUGAGGUCACACUCAUCUCUACCGCUUAGGCUGGAGUGCAGUGGCACAAUUAGAUGUAGCCUCUAACUCCUAGACUUAAGCAAUCCUCCACCAUAGCCUCCUAAGUAACUGGAACUACAGGCACAUGCCACCACAGCCAGCUAAUUAUUUUGUUUUUUUUUUGUAGAAACAAGGACUUGUUAUGUUGCCCAGGCUGGUCUCAAACUCCUCCUGGCCUCAAGUGAUACCCUUGUCUCAGCUUCCAAAGUGCUGGGAUUAUACAUGAGCCACCAAGCCCAGAGCCCCCAAAUUCCAAAGAGCUAAAGUAACCUGAUAUAAAGUUGUCAUGUAAAAUUUGAAAACGUUCCAAACUAUUGAGUUUAAAUUUCUAAUUCUACCUCUCAACGCCUUUGUAAAACCUUAAGCAGAUUAAUUUAAGAAUGACCAUUAUCCCAUAUACAACUUAACCUUUGAGACUCUUUUUUCUCCUUCCUAACAUUCAAGUAAAGACACUAGAUUUGUCAGCAGGCUCCUUUAUGACCAGUACCUUAAAGCAACACAUUCUUCUGGGCUAACAUAAAAUGAGAAUUAGUGGUCAUAGUGCUUGGAUCAGAUGUAAACCAAAUGGUUGCUGGGAAAGUGGGGGGAGAUGGGAAACUUGCAAAAUAAGAUAGUUAAAUUCAUUCAAAUAUUUGUAUAACUUCUCAUUUGGCAAACUUCUUUUAGAAGGGAUCUGUUCCAAGACUCCCAGCAGAUGCCUGAAACCUCAAAUAGUACACUCCAUAUAUAUUAUGUUUCUGCCUAUACAUACAUACCUAUGGCAAAGUUUAAUUUAUAAAUUAGGCAUAGUAAGACAGUAACAAUAACAAAAUGGAACAAUUGUAACAAUAUGCUAUAAGUGGCUGGGUGCAGUGACUCAUGCCUGAAAUCCCAACACUUUGGGAGGCCUAGGUGGGAGGACUGUUUGAGGCCAGGAGUUCGAGACCAGCCUGGGGAACAUAGUGAGACUCUGUCUCUAUAAAAAAAAAAAAAUUUCUAAAUCAGUCAGGCACGGUGGCAUGCACCUGUAGUUCUAGCUACUCAGAAGGCUGAGGCAGGAGGAUUACUUGAGCCCAGGAGCUCCAGGCUAUAAUGAGCUGUGAUUGUACCACUGCACUUCAGCCUGGACAACAGAGCAAGAGACUCUCUUUUUUUUUUAAGUUAUGUGAAUGUGGUGUCACUCUCAAAAUAUCUUCUUGUACUGCACUCAUCUAUUUUUUAGUGUAACUGAAACCACAGAAAGCAAAGCUGCAUGUAAGAAGGGACUAUCAUGAUAACUGUGUAAGCAUGGAAUUACCAACUAAUGGUUGGUAUCUACAAUUAGUACAGAACUUGGUGAAGUCUAAAUAAUUACUUUUCCUGGAACAAUCACUAUUGGGCUACACCACACAGAUUAUGCUUCAGGGAAAGGUGACGGCAAGAGGAUGCACUGAUACUGGCAAGUAGUCUCUCCUAAUAAGAUGGAGAUCAAGGCUUCCCAAAAAAGCAACAUCACAUCAGUGACAAGACUAGACUGAGAAAUCUUGCUCUAUAACUAAGGUCAGAAUUUCUUAACCUUAAGUUCACAAACCAAUCCACCAAAGAGGUGAUUAUGGGUUCUUGGAUUUCAUAACUGAAACUGAUUUCAAAAUGUGUUUAUGGACAUGUAUUUAGGGAGAUACUCCAUAGCAUUCCAAAGAGUUUUAAAUAAGGGCCGGGCGCAGUGGCUUAUGCCUGUAAUCCCAGCACUUUGGGAGGCCGAGGCGGGUGGAUCACGAGGUAAGAGAUCUGGUCAACAAGGUGAAACCCCACCUCUACUAAAAAUAGAAAAAAUUAGCUGGGCAUAGUGGCGCAUGCCUGUAAUCCCAGUUACUCAGGAGGCUGAGGCAGGAGAAUUGCCUGAACCCAGGAGGCGGAGGUUGCGGUGAGCCGAGAUCGCGCCAUUGCACUCCAGCCUGGGUAACAAGAGUGAAACUCCGUCUUAAAAAAAAAAAGAGUUUUAAAUAAUAUUAUCUAAUUUAUUAUUAGUACCUUCACAAUCAAUGAGGAAGGUACUAAUAUUCUCAUUUUAUAGACAGGAAUUUCAUUUCCUUGUGGGAAAUGAAAACCUUACCAAAAAAGUGGUAGAGCAUUAAUUCAAAUAUGUCCUUAAAACACAUAUAUGUACACAUACAAUACAAUAGCUAGCCAGAAAUUGUCUUAACUAUGAAAGAACAGGUUUUUAUAUUAGCAUAUAUGGCCUAGAAGCCAAAUACUGGGGAAAACAUGCAAUUUUAUGUGCUAACAUAGAAGUAAUAGCUGUAAAAUGAUUUUAACAAUUUAAACACUUUUGAAAUAAUAUAAAAAUCAGGCCAGGCGCGGUGGCUCAUGCCUGUAAUCCCAGCACUUUGGGAGGCCGAGGUGGGUGGAUCAUAAGGUCAAGAGAUCAAGACCAUCCUGGUCGACAAGGUGAAACCCCGUCUCUACUAAAAAUACAAAAAAUUAGCUGGGCAUAGUGGCGCGUGCCUGUAAUCCCAGCUACUCAGGAGGCUGAGGCAGGAGAAUUGCCUGAACCCAGGAGGUGAAGGUUGCGAUGAGCCGAGAUUGCGCCAUUGCACUCCAGCCUGGGUAACAAGAGCGAAACUCCGUCUCAAAAAUAAUAAUAAUAAUAAUAUAAAAAUCUCUAUUUUAUAGAUAAGGAGAUAGAGAAAUGGAGAGGUUAAGUAAUUUGUCAAAGGUCACAUAGCUAGUAAAAUUCAAAGUCACAAUUCUGGCUCCAAAACCUGUGCUCUUUACUAUGCUGUAAAUACUGCUUCUCCAUUUAAUGUAUGAAAAUUUUAAACUCUGGUCAUUUUAAAGGGGAAAAAGCAAGAAGGCCAAAGAAUCGUCUAAUUUGGAAAGUCUACUAUAAUAAAGUACUUUUUUAUUCUAUUCUAGCAUAUAUAAAACAAAACCAAUGGGAGACACGAGAAGCAAUUACAUUUGCAUUUUCUUUCAGACACACAACCUCAUUUGAUUUUCAUGGCUGUGUGUGUUGGAAGGGCAAGUGUUAUUUGUCUCACAUUUUAAAGAUGAGACAACUGACACUCUGAGAGGUUAGUCUCACUACUCACCAUUACCUGAACAUUUCUGCCUCCAGAAUUUCCUGUGCAUGGUUUUCUAUUGGAAUAGCUCCCUUUCUCUGUCUAGUAAAAAUGCAACUAACAUUUUAAAGCCUAGAGCAGGUUUAACCUUCUUAGAUAUACCUUUCCUGGCACUUGCAAGCAGAAAUAACCUUUCUUUUCUCUGUUGUCCCUUAAUGUAGUUCAUACCAUUCCACCAGGCAUCGUCUUUGUCAUCAGUUGUAUUUACAUGUAGCUCCCUAGUCAGAUACUGGGUUCCAUGAUGCUAAGGGUUACAUAUAGGAAAAAUGAUUCCUAGGAUUCUACUGCCAAAUCAGUAAAAGGAUGAAGCAGAAAACUCACACAGUUUGGCAAAAAGGAACAUGAAUUCACACUGACAUGCUGCUGUCAUCUUCAUAACUUAAGUCAUCUUCAUAACUUAAGAAUUUAUCCUCAAGGCUGGCAGCAUUACCCACAAACACUUCUAGUGAUGCUCCCUGCAUAGUGCUUGGGAAACGCCUAGGCAGACAGCACCGGAAACAAUGACUCCUCUUCUAUUACCUACUAACCAUUCAAAUACAUUGUUUUAUUGAGUUUAUGCUUCUUAUUUCUUCCAAGUAUAUCACAAAGUCCCAGGAAGACUAUGAAAACAUUUACAUCCCCACGUUGGAAACAUGUGGGCUUCAAUAUCUCAUGGUAUCUGUGGAAAAGAAAGGAGACAGAGUCUCGGUCUAUCACCCAGGCAGGAGUGCAGUGGCGCGCAAUCUUGGCUCACUGUAAUCUUUGCCUCCUGGGUUCAAGUGAUCCUCCCACCUCAGCCUCUCAAGUAGCUGGAACUACAGGCAUGCACCAUCACACCUGGCUAAUUUUUAUAUUUCCGGUAAACGCGGGGUUUCACCAUGUUGGCCAAGCCGUCUCGAAUUCCUGACCUCAAGUGAUCUGCCCACCUUAGCCUACCACUAGCUGGGACCACAGGCACGUAGCACCAUGCCUGGAUAAUUUUUUGUAUUUUUUUAGUAGAGACAGGAUUUCGCCAUGUGGCCUAGACUGGUCUCAAAUUCCUGACUCAAGUGAUCCACCCGCCUCAGCCUCCCGAAGUGUUGGGAUUACAGACAUGAGCCACCUUCUUUCACUUAAAAUAUUGUGGCCAUCUUUCCAUAUCAAUAUAUCAGAACCACCUUCCAAAGAACUGGCUCAAACAGAAAAGGAAGCAGUCAAGAAUGAUGCCAAACCAUCCUGACUAGAUUUGGAGCCCAGAGUGUACCAAGAAAGAAAUAGGCAAUUUCACAGUGGAAGAAAGAGGAUUUUACUUUUGGAACAGUUAUCAGAACAAGGAAUACACAUUUGUAAUUCAUAAGCAUGGAGCUGAUAAAUAAUGAUCUUUAAAAAAAAAAUGAUCUAAGUGCAGAAAGAAAAAGGUAACAAACAGUUAUCAGACACCUAGUGUAUACCUGGACUGCAACAGGAGCCAGGAGAUGCGGAAGAAACGAAAGUAUAUAACAAAAAGGGCAGAACAAAUUCUAAUAAACAAAUAGCUAACUACAAGUGUGAACAGCUCUGCAGAAGAUAAAAAUAAGUUACUAUGAAAGUAAAUAAUAGGAGGGACCAAUCCAGUCUUGGUGGUAAGAAGGGUCAGGGAACUUCCAUUAGUAAGUGAUGUGUAAGUAAAGACUUUAAGAGGAUGUGUAACUACCUUGGUGAAAUAGAGUAAGCAUUCCAAGCACAAGGAACGGAUGGUAUGUAUAUAGGCCAAAGAAGCAGUGUUUUUACAAAACAGAAAGUGUGAGUAAAGCACAUGAAAAUAUGGUGAAGAAGUCAUGAGACAAGGCCAGAAAAGAAGGUAGCAUUAAAAAAAAAAAAAAAGAUUACUAACAGUUUUGGAAAGAACAAUUUUGGUGUUCUAGUCACUGAGGAAAUAGAUUUCUAGAAAGGUAAUGAUGAAGAGCUUGGGCUAAAUGAGGGUGAAAAUCUCGGCUGUUACUUAGCAACUACAUGAAUUUGAACAAAUUACUUAACCUUUAAAUCUGUGCCAUCUGUAAACAGGAGAUACAACAAUAAUAGUAUUUGCUUCACAGGACUGCUUGAGGAUUAAGAAUACAUGCAAAUAAUUUCACACAAGAUCUGACACACAAAAUACUAUGAUCUUAGUGUGUGUGCAUGUGUUGUGUGUGUGUUUAUGAGCGCUCCCAAGCAUGUACUGGCCGAUAGGAGAUAAAAAGCAGACAGGAAGUUCAAGCAGACUAGAAGCAAAGACAUUAACUACUAUACUCUCAAAGUUGUAGAAUUACAGGUAAUUUUUAUGUUUAUUAUUUAUAAUCUUUCAUAUCUUCCAAGUGUUUAGCAAUAAGCAUAAACUAUUUCAACAAUUAUAAGAAAAAGUUAAUUUUAAAUCAUGUCUUUCUACUCUGGUUUCUCUUCAGAUCAUACAAAUCUUUCAUCUUUUAAAUCAUUUUUUUAAAAAAGCAAAGAUUUCUUUUAGAUGCACAAUCUACUACAUUUGGCUGAAAAGCAGAUGGAAAAAUUCACAGAGGAAAAGAAGGAAAAGCGAACUGUUUCUAUCAAGAAAGGAAACCUAUGGAAAGCACAGCUGCAAGAAUAUAGAAAGUAACGGGCUCUCCAUCUGUGAUGGAGGUGGUCACUUUGGAGGACAGAUAAGUCAUCCUCAGAGAACGAAAACAAUGAAGGAAAUUCCAGCCUACUCAUGUUCUCCUCUCAGGCUGUACCACAACAGGAUCCAACUGGGCUUUGUGAUCCCAUAACCUGUCAAGGGACCUGGCAUGGAACAGACAAUUAAAUUUUUUUUUUUAAUCAAAUGUAUUUUUAACUUUAUUAAAAGAAUUUUCUUGUAAUUUCUAGCACAAUUAUAUUCGUAACUUGGUAAGUAAUCCACUCCUUGAACCAAGCACAGGAUACCUCCAGUCAUCUAUCAGUCCCACAAAUUACACUAGGCCUACGCAUAAUUUUAAUAGCUACCAAAUAUCAGGACAAAAUUAUCCUGGUUAUACUUGCUAUAGAACCCAUGAACUUACAGUGUAGCCCAACUUCCCUUCCCAUUCUUCAGACUAACUAAAUCUACUGAAAAACACACAACCAAUCAAAAUCAUACGUCCUUUUCUCUCCUCUUCCCAGUAAAUAGUUGGGGCAAAAACAGUAGGUACAGGAAAAAUGGUUUAAAAUACAAGAGUCAGAAAAUCUGAAUUUAAGUUCAGCUAUGUUCAGCUCUACCCUGUGUAUACUCGUGGUCAAGCCAGUCACCCUGUAAGUCUUACUUCUCUGUAAAAGGGAGAAAAUAUACCCACUCCACCUCAGAUGUGAAAAGUGCUCUGCAAACAGCACACAGUGCAGCCCAAAGUAUCCUAGUCUCUGAUGGUGUUACUCCACAGGUUUUCCACUUUUCAUAGUAUAGACAAGAUCCUUUGACUACCCAAACUCUUGCCUACUUGUCAACCAUCAGUACAUGUGUGCAAGGUGCCUGGACAAAGUUAACUUAUAACCUGGGGUUAAAAGAAGGCCUUUUCUGCAUUUAAGUGUCAUCAGCCUGAAUGGGAAUUAUCAUUCACUCUAGGUCCAUCAGCAUCACAUUCCAACAGUUGAGUCACCUCCCAAACAAGAAGUUUCUUUCUAGCAUACUCUGUAGUGGGUACACAGGGUAAGGCUUUGGGAGUAUGAGCUUCCAAGGUGAAGAAUGACAUAGCAAAUAUCAGUUGAACCCCAUCUGAUCAAUGAACUUAAAUCACCUUAUCAAAACAUCCCUUCCUUUUCCUGCUUCCAGGCAAUCUUAAAUAUUUCUUUAAACGGCUUUGUUUAGGUAUAAUUUACAGACAAUUAAAUUCAUCUGCGAUAAGUGUAUAUUUCAAUGACUUUUAUUCAUUCAUUUAUAGAUUUGUGCAACCAUCACCAAAAUCUAAUUUUGAACCUUUCCAUCACCCCCCAAACUCCCUUUGUUCCUGUUUCCACUCCAACUCAGCCCCCAGACAACCACUGAUCUGCUUUCUGUCUCUAUACAUUUGACUUCUCUGGAUGUUUUGGGUUUUUUUUGUUUUUGUUUUUGAGACGGAGUCUACUCUAUCAUCCAGAUACAUGCCACCACAUCCGCCUUUUUUUCUAGUAGAGAAGGGGUUUCACCACGUUGGCCAUACUGGUUCUCAAAUUCCUGACCUCAAGUAAUCUACCUACCUCAGCCUCCCAAAGUGCUGGGAUUACAGGCGUGAGUCACCGUGCCCAGCCUCUGGACAUUUCAUAUAGAAGAAAUCAUACAACAUGUACUCCUUUGCGUUUGGCUUUUUUUUGAGAUGGAGUCUCACUCUGUUGCCCAGGCUGGAGUGCAGUGGCACGAUCUUGGUUCACUGCAACCUCCAUCUCCCAAGUUCAAGCAAUUCUCCCACCUCAGCCUUCAGAGUAGCUGGGACUACAGGCAUACAACAUCAUGCCCGGCUAAUUUUUGCAUUUUUUUUUUUAGUAGAGACAGGGUUUCACCAUGUUGGCAAGGCUGGUCUUGAACUGCUGACCUCAAGUAAUCCAUUCGCCUCAGCCUCCCAAAGUGCUGGUAUUACAGGCAUGAGCCACUGCACCAGGUAGAAUUUGGCUUCUUUCAUUUAGUAUAAGUUUUAGGUUUAUCCUUGUUGUAGCAUGUAUUGGUAAUUAAUUCCUUUUUAUUGUUGAAUAGUAUUGCAUUUUAUAGGUACUCCACGUUUUGUUUAUCCAUUCACCAAUUGGUGGACAUUUGAACUGUUUCCAGAUUUUGGCUAUUAAUAAUGUUAUUAUGAACAUGCAUAAUAAUGUGAUGAAUGAACAUUCAUAUAGUCUUUUUUUCUUUUGAGACAAGGUCUUACUCUGUGGCUCAGGCUAGAGUGCAAUGGUGCAAUCUUGGCUCACUGCAACCACCACCUCCCAGGCUCAAGCAAUUCCCCUGUGUUAGCCUCCCAAGUAGCUGGGAUAACAGGCACAUGCCAUGCACUUAAUUUUUGUAUUUUUAGUAGAUAGGGAGUUUCUCCAUGUUGGCCAGGCUGGUCUCAAACUCCUGACCUCAGGUGACCCGCCUACCUUGGCCUCCCGAAGUGCUGAGAUUAAAGGUGUGAGCCACCAAGCCUGGGGCCUACAUACAGUCUUUGUGUGAAUAUAUGUUUUAAAUUCUCUUGGAUAUACAGGAGUGGAAUUGCUGGAUCAUAUGGUAAGUUUAUAUUUUUAAUAAACUGCCAAACUGAUUUUCAGUUGACUUACAUUACCACUGUAACAUGCAAGAUUUCUUGUUUCUACACAUCCUAACACUUUCUAGAACACUCUGACAGUCUUUUUGAUUAUAGCUAUUCCUGAGGUGUACAGUGGACAUUCCAAUUUGAAUUUGCAUCUCCCUAAUGACUAAUUUAGAGCACCUUUGCAUGUGAUGAAAUGUUCUUUUACCCAAGUUUUCAAAAUUUUAAACUUAUUUUUGUUGUAGUAAAAUAUACAUAAGAUUUACCAUUUUAACCACUUUAGUGCAUAACUCAAGGACACUGAAUUCAGAUUGUUGUACAACCAUGAUCACUAUCAUUUCCAAAACUUUUUCAUAAACCUAAACAAGAACUCUGUACCCAUUAAACAAUAACUACUUAUUCUCCACUUCCCCCAGCAACUUCUGUUUUACUUUUUGUCUCAAUGAAUUUUGCCUAUUCUAGGUAUCUCACACAAGUGGAAUCAUAUUUUUUAUUCAUUUCUAAAAAUUGAGUUGUCUUGAAUUGUAAGAGAUUUUUAUAUAUUUUGGAUACAACUCCUGUGGGAAGUAGAAAAGUUCCUCUUUAAAGUUUCCUUUCCUGUUAAAGAAUAAAUCAUAAGUGUGCUAACAACUCUUUGCUAAGCCCUAUCCUAUGUAGCUGUUAGGCAUACCAUGCUUACUGGCACGUAGCACAUUCUAUGUCCUUGUACUUUAACCAAGAUACCUGUGCUGGACGUGCACACAAGCAUGUCCCAGCUUGCCACUGCUUUUACCUGAAAAGUUUUAAGUUGUUAGCCAAUCAGGUUUUAGUUUAGAUUGUGAGGUCUGGCUCCAGCCAAAGGAGAUCAGACACAGGAGUAAGGAUGACCCCAAAUGCAUAAAAGAUAAAUAUGUCGGCUUUCCUUUGUUCAUUGUACUCUCAUAGCAAGAUGGCUAGUGAGAAUACCCUUCCUGCAGUCCAGGAAGUAAAAAUUGCUUGCUGAGA